CGAGGGCAGAGCGGGAAGCUCCGCCCCUCGCGGAACCCCGGCCUGUGCGCAGUUCCCGUGCCCUAGGAGUUGGCGGCGGGGCCCAGCCGAGAAUCUUCUUCCCUUCUGGUCUGACUAGGAAAGCCAGAGGGAGAUGGUGAAGGAGACACAGAGAGAGUAAAAGAACAGACCAUGCCCAGCCUCUCCACUGCAGGAGCUUGGAAUCAGUGAAGCAGAGUUGCCAGCCAUCUAUGGAUCCUAACUAAAUUGGUCCUUGUAAUACUCGGUAUUAUUUGCCAAGAUAUUGAAAAACCUCUAAACAGUGAGAAGCUGCUGUGCCCUGAGGACACCCAGGCAGCCUAAGGAGAGGCCCACAGGUGAGAAACUGCAUGUGUGAGCUGAGCUUGGAAGUGGAUCUUCUAUGUUUUGCCAACAGCCACGUGACUAGUUUUGGAAGCAGAUUCUCCAGCCCCAGCUGCACCUGUGCCAGAGGCACCCAUUAAGCCGCACCUAGUUAAAUUCCUGACCCACAAAGACUUUGAAAUCAUAAAUGUUUGUUGUUUUAAGCUGCUAAGUUUUGAAGUAAUCUGCCAUGUAGCAACAUGAAACUACUUGGACCAAAUAUGUGUUUUUCUAAGCACAGGAAUAUUCACACUUUAUUAAACUUGAGUAUUCCAACAAUAGGAUGGAAGUCCAAGUUUUAUUUCUUU
rnacentral:lncRNA from 1 species